rnacentral:pre_miRNA from 1 species
NNNNNNNNCUGAAAAAGUCAUCAACAACAAAGUUGUAUAACUCAUCAAGAUCUAUAACUUCUAUUUUGGUCAUUUCUUUAUCCGAAAAAGUGCUUUGUAACAUUGUUCAUAAAAUAUACAUAUUUCUUAUAGUUUUAUAAACUAUAAGAGAGAUGUAAAUUUUAAGAAUAUGUUACGAUCACUUUGUCGGAUGAAGAAAAUGACCAAAAUAGAAGUUAUAGAUCUUGAUGAGUUAUACAACUUUGUUGUUGAUGACUUUUUCAGCUGAAAUC